rnacentral:rRNA from 1 species
UUUAUAUCAUUAUUUAAAUUAUAUAUUAUAUUAAAUUAUAUAUGUAAUAAUGAUAGAAUUAGUAUAAUAGAUAUUUAGUUAUUAAGAACUCGGCAAUAUUGACUUUUACCUGUUUAAUAAAAACAUGUCUUUAUGAUUAGUUAUAUAAAGUCUGGCCUGCCCUAUGAUUUAUUAAAUGGCUGCAGUAUAUUGACUGUACAAAGGUAGCAUAAUAAUUUGUCUAUUAAUUGUAGGCUAGUAUGAAUGGUUAGAUAAGAAGUUAACUUUUUUAUAGUUAUAAUUAGAAUUUAACUUUGAAGUUAAAAGGCUUUAAUUUAUUUAAAGGACGAGAAGACCCUAUAGAACUUUAUAUAAGUUUCUAUUAUAUAAUAGAAACUUAUAUUGUACUGGGGAGGUAAUUAAAUUUUAUUAACUUUAAUAUAUUUAUUUCAUGAAUUAAUGAUUUGUUGAUCCAAUUUUUUGAUUGUGAGAUCAAGUUACCUUAGGGAUAACAGCGUAAUUUAGUUGGAAAGUUCAUAUUGAUAAUUAAGAUUGCGACCUCGAUGUUGAAUUAAGAUUAAUUAUAGGGGCAGUUUCUUAUAUAUUUGGUCUGUUCGACCAUUAAAAUCUUACAUGAUUUGAGUUUAGACCGGCGUGAGCCAGGUCGGAUUCUAUCCUUAAUUGAUAGUAACUUUUAGUACGAAAGGACCAGAGUUUACUUAAUAAUUAA